UCCCUCCACUGUGGGGUCUUCAUCGUUUCACAAUGCAUGCAUUUUCUAGGGGCACCUGAAUCUCCUAAUGAUGAUCCAUUCUCUCAAGUGAUGUAAAAGCAAUUGAGAAAUAAAUCCCAAAUUGAGAGGACAACCCAAAAAGAAAGAAAGAA